GUGGGGAAUUUUGCGCAAUGGGGGAAACCCUGACGCAGCAACGCCGCGUGAGUGAUGAAGGCCUUCGGGUUGUAAAGCUCUUUUAGUGGGGAAGAAGCCCUCCGGGGUUAAUACCUCCGGGGUCUGACGGUACCCACAGAAAAAGUUCCGGCUAACUACGUGCCAGCAGCCGCGGUAAUACGUAGGGAGCAAGCGUUGUUCGGAAUUAUUGGGCGUAAAGAGCGCGUAGGCGGUUCGGUAAGUCUGACGUGAAAUCCCGGAGCUUAACUCCGGAACUGCGUUGGAUACUGCCGGGCUUGAGUGUGGGAGAGGAGAGUGGAAUUCCCAGUGUAGAGGUGAAAUUCGUAGAUAUUGGGAGGAACACCCGUGGCGAAGGCGGCUCUCUGGACCACAACUGACGCUGAGGCGCGAAAGCUAGGGGAGCAAACGGGAUUAGAAACCCUAGUAGUCC
rnacentral:rRNA from 1 species